AAGUCGUAACAAGGUCUCCGUUGGUGAACCAGCGGAAGGAUCAUUUCUGUUCCAACCUUUUUCUUCCCUUUCUGGCUUCAUUCUCCCUUGUAAUAGAGGGGGUUUAGAGUUGGAGAAGGAGAAAAAUAGAGAUUGUGUGGUUUAAAUGCUUUCUACGUGGGAUUCUGCCUUUCUAUUCUUCUGCUUUGAACCUCCUAAUCCUUCUGAUUCGUCGGAAGGAAAAAGGUGGGGAAUAAGUAUGGGAAAAAGGGGUAGGUUCCAUAUAGAAACCCCAUUUUUCAUAUAUAAAAAAAUCACGAUGAUUACUAUUGUAACCAACCGAGAGCAAGGUGUUUUUUUUCUGAUCUCUUGAAAAAGGGAAUAGGGGAAAAUGCUUUGAAUUUCACAAAUAUAAACGACAUACAACUGUCAACGGUGGAUCUCUUGGCUCGU
rnacentral:misc_RNA from 1 species